rnacentral:rRNA from 1 species
AGUGAACGCUGGCGGUAGGCCUAAUACAUGCAAGUCGAACGGCAGCACAGUAAGAGCUUGCUCUUACGGGUGGCGAGUGGCGGACGGGUGAGGAAUACAUCGGAAUCUACUUUUUCGUGGGGGAUAACGUAGGGAAACUUACGCUAAUACCGCAUACGACCUACGGGUGAAAGCAGGGGAUCUUCGGACCUUGCGCGAUUGAAUGAGCCGAUUUCGGAUUAGCUAGUUGGCGGGGUAAAGGCCAACCAAGGCGACGAUCCGUAGCUGGUCUGAGAGGAUGAUCAGCCACCCUGGAACUGGGACACGGUCCAGACUCCUACGGGAGGCAGCAGUGGGGAAUAUUGGACAAUGGGCGCAAGCCUGAUCCAGCCAUACCGCGUGGGUGAAGAAGGCCUUCGGGUUGUAAAGCCCUUUUGUUGGGAAAGAAAAGCAGCAGGUUAAUACCCCGCUGUUCUGACGGUACCCAAAGAAUAAGCACCGGCUAACUUCGUG